CCAAUAGCGUAUAUUAAAGUUGUUGCAGUUAAAAAGCUCGUAGUUGAAUUUCGAGACCGGUCUACUGGUCGUGCUUUUGUACGUACUGGUAUAAUCGGUUUCUCUCUUCUGACGAAAUAUAAUGCCAUUAAUUUGGUGUUUUAGGGAAUCAGGACUGUUACUUUGAAAAAAUUAGAGUGUUUAAAGCAGGCUCACGCUUGAAUACAUUAGCAUGGAAUAA
rnacentral:rRNA from 1 species